CCUACGGGAGGCAGCAGUGGGGAAUAUUGCACAAUGGGGGAAACCCUGAUGCAGCGACGCCGCGUGAGUGAAGAAGUAUUUCGGUACGUAAAGCUCUAUCAGCAGGGAAGAAAAUGACGGUACCUGACUAAGAAGCACCGGCUAACUACGUGCCAGCAGCCGCGGUAAUACGUAGGGGGCAAGCGUUAUCCGGAUCUACUGGGUGUAAAGGGAGCGUAGACGGCAGCGCAAGUCUGGAGUGAAAUCCCAUGGCUUAACCAUGGAACUGCUUUGGAAACUGUGCAGCUAGAGUGCAGGAGAGGUAAGCGGAAUUCCUGGUGUAGCGGUGAAAUGCGUAGAUAUUAGGAGGAACACCAGUGGCGAAGGCGGCUUACUGGACUGUAACUGACGUUGAGGCUCGAAAGCGUGGGGAGCAAACAGGAUUAGAUACCCGGGUAGUC
rnacentral:rRNA from 1 species